GUCCGUCGCUAAAAUCCCUUGGAACAGGGUAUCGGAGAAGGUGAGAAUCCUGUGCCGUGGCGGUUCGCGGUCGCACGAUGCGCCCUUGCAGAGUCGGGUUGCUUGGGAUUGCAGCUUGAAGUGGGAGGUAAAUUCCUUCUAAAGCUAAAUAUUGCAGCGAGACCGAUAGCGAACAAGUACCGUGAGGGAAAGAUGCAAAGAACUUUGAAAAGAGAGUUAAAGAGUGCUUGAAAUCGGCAAGAGGAAACCCGUUUG
rnacentral:rRNA from 11 species